rnacentral:rRNA from 1 species
GACGAACGCUGGCGGCGUGCCUAAUACAUGCAAGUAGAACGCUGAAGAGAGGAGCUUGCUCUUCUUGAAUGAGUUGCGAACGGGUGAGUAACGCGUAGGUAACCUGCCUUGUAGCGGGGGAUAACUAUUGGAAACGAUAGCUAAUACCGCAUAACAAUGGGUGACACAUGUCAUUUAUUUGAAAGGGGCAAUUGCUCCACUACAAGAUGGACCUGCGUUGUAUUAGCUAGUAGGUGAGGUAACGGCUCACCUAGGCGACGAUACAUAGCCGACCUGAGAGGGUGAUCGGCCACACUGGGACUGAGACACGGCCCAGACUCCUACGGGAGGCAGCAGUAGGGAAUCUUCGGCAAUGGGGGCAACCCUGACCGAGCAACGCCGCGUGAGUGAAGAAGGUUUUCGGAUCGUAAAGCUCUGUUGUAAGUCAAGAACGAGUGUGAGAGUGGAAAGUUCACACU